rnacentral:rRNA from 1 species
AUUGAACGCUGGCGGCAGGCCUAACACAUGCAAGUCGAACGGUAACAGGAAGCAGCUUGCUGCUUUGCUGACGAGUGGCGGACGGGUGAGUAAUGUCUGGGAAACUGCCUGAUGGAGGGGGAUAACUACUGGAAACGGUAGCUAAUACCGCAUAACGUCGCAAGACCAAAGAGGGGGACCUUAGGGCCUCUUGCCAUCGGAUGUGCCCAGAUGGGAUUAGCUAGUAGGUGGGGUAACGGCUCACCUAGGCGACGAUCCCUAGCUGGUCUGAGAGGAGGACCAGCCACACUGGAGCUGAGACACGGUCCAGACUCCUACGGGAGGCAGCAGUGGGGAAUAUUGCACAAUGGGCGCAAGCCUGAUGCAGCCAUGCCGAGUGUAUGAAGAAGGCCUUCGGGUUGUAAAGUACUUUCAGCGGGGAGGAAGGGAGUAAAGUUAAUACCUUUGCUCAUUGACGGUACCCGCAGAAGAAGCACCGGCUAACUCCGUG